UCAGUUCUAAGCUCCUCUCCUCUCCUCCGUUUUCAUCCCUCUAGUCCAUGCAACGUCUGUAAGUGUUCAUACGUUGUUGUAUUGUUGUAUUAAGAUGAAGGUUGUUUAAGUGUAAUUAAGUUGUUAAAACGGCUAUGGCGCUAAUCGCUAAUGCUACACGAAGUUAGCUUCAAGUUUUUCGUUGCUAGCGGCAUUCUAGCUCGUUUGUGAUUAUAACGGCUAAAGCUAAUGUAGCUUAGCUCUACUGUUUGUCUGUGUGUAAGCCGUAACUCAUUGUUUUAUAUGUUACUGAAUCAUUUCAGUUUCACAAGAUUCCUCAGUAAACUUGAAGAGGUGAAUCAACUGCGUCUGAGAGUUUAUUGGGGAGUGUUUAUACUGCUUGGAAGUAGCCCAUGACAGUUGUUGUAUUUAAAGACAAAUUAGAGGUCAGAGUUGAUUUCUGCACCAAAGAGCCGACACACACAGAGAGGUUCACGUUUCAGACACAGAUUACAGUCGUCACACUCAGUCAGUGGUUUCCUGGUAAAAUAAAUAAAGGUCACAUGUUUGUGUUUACAUUCAGUAUUUCUUGCAUACUCCAGAUGCAUGCUGGGAAACCCUCACAUUUAUGUGCUCACAUAGAAACCACGAGCAGUCAGACUCCCACUCAUGCAGGCAGAGGUCCAGGAGCUCAGAGCUCUGGUUUCAUCUCCUCAGCUGCUGACGCCGCGCUCUCAUUGGCUGGCUGUGCUCUUGCAUUCAUGCUGCAGGUUUUUGUGUGUGAGGCGUCUGAGCAGAGCGAUGCGUCCUGCGUCGUGUCGCUGGCGAGCGCAGGGAGAGCGCGCGCCAGCUGCUGUGCUGCAGAAAUGACAUCCCUCUCAGAGAGCGAGCAGCAGAGCGGGACUAACCGAGCUCCACGCUGUCACAUCACAGGAGAUCAGUGUGAGCGAUGAAAACGGCCCCCGGCACAGACGGGGGGGUUUAUAAUCAUAAUCUGACAUGUCAUGUCGAUUAUUGAUCCCCUCUGCAGCACGGCUGCAUGAAUCAACCUUGGUAAUUAUGUUCACCGUGGCAUUGUGGGCCUCAGAUGUUGGUUUUCAGGAGCGUGUAAACCUGUUUUCUGUUGCAAAGGCUCUUAUUCAAGGUCAGGGAUGAGAUCCAGUCCACGGGAUUAACUUUCAAACUCUCCUCAAUCUCACUUUAUCGGAGAACUCGUCAGAAAUGCGUGAAGUGAAACACGUCUUUUUGAUGCUGUCAGGCGUGGAGUUAAACUGAGGCUGAUCGGUUUUCUGUGAAAUCAUUUACAUCCUCGUUAGCCUGAUUUUAAAAAACUGUUUAUGAAAAAUCAAGUUUCCUGCUUCACUUUCAUUUCUGAUUGGUUCCUCUCUCUGACCUCCAUGAUGACCUUUUCUGUCACAUGAAGGUCUCUGCAGAAACUGUCCUGGUUCACCUGAAAACCACCAUCCAGGUGUGCUGAGGUCUUCAGGGACAGGAGUGAGCUGGACUCGGUCCUUCCUCAGUCCCAGAGCUCGUGGUGCACAGGUGGGUUUGGACCGUCCACGGUGUCACCUGUCCCUGCAGGGGUCCACCUGGUGUCUUCACUUUUCAUCCUUUCACUUUGUAGGAAAUAAUGAUGUUAAAUUCAGGGUGAGAGUUAUUAUCCUGGAGCCUUGACUCCGCCCCCUUUACCUGCUGUACAGUUCUGUAUCUGAUUAUCGGUUUAGGUUGAUUUAAGCUCCAGUCUGAUUAAAACGCAU